rnacentral:rRNA from 1 species
GUGGGGAAUUUUGGACAAUGGGCGAAAGCCUGAUCCAGCAAUGCCGCGUGAGUGAAGAAGGCCUUAGGGUUGUAAAGCUCUUUUACCCGGGAAGAUAAUGACUGUACCGGGAGAAUAAGCCCCGGCUAACUCCGUGCCAGCAGCCGCGGUAAUACGGAGGGGGCUAGCGUUGUUCGGAAUUACUGGGCGUAAAGCGCACGUAGGCGGCUUUGUAAGUUAGAGGUGAAAGCCCAGGGCUCAACCCUGGAACUGCCUUUAAGACUGCAUCGCUUGAACACGGGAGAGGUGAGUGGAAUUCCGAGUGUAGAGGUGAAAUUCGUAGAUAUUCGGAAGAACACCAGUGGCGAAGGCGACUCACUGGACCGUUGUUGACGCUGAGGUGCGAAAGCGUGGGGAGCAAACAGGAUUAGAAACCCGGGUAGUCC